GAUCCACUAGCUCACUUGGAUAGAGCGACAGCCUCCUAAGCUGUAGGUAGCGCGUUCGACUCGCGCGUGGGUCA
rnacentral:tRNA from 1 species